rnacentral:rRNA from 1 species
UAAAGAAUUUCGGUCAUCGAUGGGGAUGCGUUCCAUUAGCUUGUUGGCGGGGUAACGGCCCACCAAGGCAUCGAUGGAUAGGGGUUCUGAGAGGAAGGUCCCCCACAUUGGAACUGAGACACGGUCCAAACUCCUACGGGAGGCAGCAGUGAGGAAUAUUGGUCAAUGGGCGCUAGCCUGAACCAGCCAAGUAGCGUGAAGGAUGACUGCCCUACGGGUUGUAAACUUCUUUUAUAUGGGAAUAAAGUGCAGUAUGUAUACUGCUUUGCAUGUACCUUAUGAAUAAGGAUCGGCUAACUCCGUGCCAGCAGCCGCGGUAAUACGGAGGAUCCGAGCGUUAUCCGGAUUUAUUGGGUUUAAAGGGAGCGUAGGCGGGUUGUUAAGUCAGUUGUGAAAGUUUGCGGCUCAACCGUAAAAUUGCAGUUGAUACUGGCAUCCUUGAGUACAGUAGAGGUAGGCGGAAUUCGUGGUGUAGCGGUGAAAUGCUUAGAUAUCACGAAGAACUCCGAUUGCGAAGGCAGCCUGCUGGACUGUAACUGACGCUGAUGCUCGAAAGUGUGGGUAUCAAGCAGGAUUAGAUACCCUGGUAGUCCACACA